UCAGUGGUUAAGGAGCUUGCUUGAAUGUAUUUUUGCAGAAAUUUAGAAAAAGUUACCAAUAGUGAUGACAUGUCAUAAGCCUAAGGACAACUGAAGACGACAACAUUAAGGUCCCUGAAAAUGGUUACAAAG
rnacentral:snoRNA from 1 species